rnacentral:rRNA from 1 species
AGUGAAUAGAUACCCAGGUAGUCCACGCAGUAAACGAUGAAUACUAACUGUUUGCGAUAUACAGUAAAGCGGUACAGCGAAAGCGUUAAGUAUUCCACCUGGGGAGUACGUUCGCAAGAAUGAAACUCAAAGGAAUUGACGGGGGCCCGCACAAGCGGAGGAACAUGUGGUUUAAAUUCGAUGAUACGCGAGUAACCGUUACCGGGCUUAGAAAUGCAUCUGACGUUAUUAGGAAACAGAUAUUCUAGCAAUAGCAGAUGUGUAGGUGCUGCAUGGUUGUCGUCAGCUCGUGCCGUGAGGUGUCGGCUUAAGUGCCAUAACGAGCGCAACCCUUAUCAUUAGUUGCCAGCGGGUCAAGCCGGGAACUCUAAUGAGACUGCCACCGUAAGGUGUGAGGAAGGUGGGGAUGACGUCAAAUCAGCACGGCCCUUACGUCCGGGGUCGACACA